rnacentral:rRNA from 1 species
GUAUAGGGGGUGACGCCUGCCCGGUGCUGGAAGGUUAAGGGGAGUGGUCAGCGAAAGCGAAGCCAUGAACCGAAGCCCCAGUAAACGGCGGCCGUAACUAUAACGGUCCUAAGGUAGCGAAAUUCCUUGUCAGGUAAGUUCUGACCCGCACGAAAGGCGUAACGAUUUGGGCGCUGUCUCGGCUGUAGACUCGGUGAAGUCUUAGUACCUGUGAAGAUGCAGGUUACCCGCGACUAGACGGAAAGACCCCAUGGAGCUUUACUGUAGCCUGAUAUUGGACUCUGAUGCAUGAUGUACAGGAUAGGUAGGAGGCUGAGAUACGGAUACGCCAGUAUUCGAGGAGCCGACGUUGGGAUACUACCCUUGAUGCAUUGGAGUUCUAACCGGGCCUCAUGGAACUGAGGACGGGACAGUGUCAGGUGGGCAGUUUGACUGGGGCGGUCGCCUCCCAAAGAGUAACGGAGGCGCCCAAAGAUACCCUCAGCAUGGAUGGAAACCAUGCGCAGAGUGCAAAGGCAGAAGGGUGUUUGACUGCGAGACAGACGAGUCGAGCAGGGACGAAAGUCGGGCUUAGUGAUCCGGCGGCACCGCAUGGAAGGGCCGUCGCUCAACGGAUAAAAGCUACCCUGGGGAUAACAGGCUGAUCUCCCCCAAGAGUUCACAUCGACGGGGAGGUUUGGCACCUCGAUGUCGGCUCAUCGCAUCCUGGAGCUGAAGUCGGUUCCAAGGGUUGGGCUGUUCGCCCAUUAAAGCGGUACGCGAGCUGGGUUCAGAACGUCGUGAGACAGUUCGGUCCCUAUCUGUCGUGGGCGCAGGAAGUUUGAGGAGAGCUGCCCUCAGUACGAGAGGACCGGGGUGGACGGACCGAUGGUGCACCAGUUGUCACGCCAGUGGCACAGCUGGGUAGCCAAGUCCGGAAGGGAUAAACGCUGAAGGCAUCUAAGCGUGAAGCCCCCUCCAAGAUGAGACUUCCCAUUCUUCGGAAGGAAGGUCCCUCCAAGACGAGGAGGUAGAUAGGUCAUGGGUGCAAGCAUGGCGACAUGCUGAGCUGAAUGAUACUAAUAGACCGAGAGCUUAGCCAUA